UCCAGACUCCUACGGGAGGCAGCAGUGGGGAAUAUUGCACAAUGGGGGGAACCCUGAUGCAGCGACGCCGCGUGAGCGAUGAAGUAUUUCGGUAUGUAAAGCUCUAUCAGCAGGGAAGAAAAUGACGGUACCUGACUAAGAAGCCCCGGCUAACUACGUGCCAGCAGCCGCGGUAAUACGUAGGGGGCAAGCGUUAUCCGGAUUUACUGGGUGUAAAGGGAGCGUAGACGGCAGUGCAAGUCUGAAGUGAAAGGCAAGGGCUCAACCCUUGGACUGCUUUGGAAACUGUGCUGCUGGAGUGCAGGAGGGGCAGGCGGAAUUCCUGGUGUAGCGGUGAAAUGCGUAGAUAUCAGGAGGAACACCGGUGGCGAAGGCGGCCUGCUGGACUGCAACUGACGUUGAGGCCCGAAAGCGUGGGGAGCAAACAGGAUUAGAUACCCCCGUA
rnacentral:rRNA from 1 species